rnacentral:rRNA from 1 species
UACCUGCAGCUCAAGUGGUGACCAUUAUUAUUGGGCCUAAAACGUCCGUAGCCGGCUUAGUAAAUGCCUGGGUAAAUCGUGUAGCUUAACUAUACGAAUUCCGGGUAGACUGCUAAGCUUGAGACCGGGAGAAGCUAGAGGUACUCCUGGGGUAGAGGUGAAAUUCUGUAAUCCUAGGGGGACACCAGUGGCGAAGGCGUCUAGCUAGAACGGAUCUGACGGUGAGGGACGAAGCCCUGGGGCACAAACCGGAUUAGAUACCCGGGUAGUCCAGGGUGUAAACGCUGCUUGCUUGAUGUUAGUUGGGCUCCGAGCCCAACUAGUGUCGGAGAGAAGUUGUAAGCAAGCUGCCUGGGAAGUACGGUCGCAAGGCUAGAAACUUAAAGGGAAUUGGGCGGGGAGCACAGCAACGGGUGGAGCGUGCGGUUU